GCGGCUCAGGGGCAAGAUGUGCCUUUUGGGGAGGGCAGCGUGGUCACCCUCUCAAGAGGCCUCGUUACUUGGUCUUCCUUCGCGAGUAUCGCUUGAGAAUUCGGAAAAGAUGGGUCACAUCACCAUCAUUUGAACAGCUCGACUUUGGCUAGAAGUUCCAGGAGAAGCAAGCAAGUGUGCCAACCCUCUCCUUUUACGUUUCCUAGGGUAACACAAGACUGGUGCUAAAUUCUGUAAAAGUUCAAUGGGUGAGUUUUGUUCCUUAAGGGCAAUUCAGGGAAAACCUAACGCAGGGAAUGUUUCCUUGUGUCCCCCCUUUUAAACAAAGGAUGUACGUUCCCAGAGACUCUGCCUGUGCGAAAAGGUAUUGGCUGUAUUAGCGACUUAUGUGUGCCAGCAGUUUGUACUUUUUUCUUGCUGCUGUAUUGUUUUUUUUUUUUUCCCUGGAAAACACUGAUUUUAAGUAGUAUUUUGAAACAGGAAAAAAAAAAAUCUGUUUUUCUUAGACAUGUGUUUCUCUCAAUGGCUCUCUGUUGCUUUGCAACCCAAAAUACAGACAUUUCUUUCACAUUUGUUGUUUUAAUAGGGACCAGCUGUUGUAACAUGUAGGUCACCAUUCAUGAAAGUGUAUUUCUUUCAGGUACUUCAGGUAUGAAAUAAGUGAAAUGAGGGUAGCCAUAUGCUGAAUUGGAGAUAUCUGUCACAGUCGGUGCACAGUUAUUGAUCAGAAGUAUUUUGCCAUGGACAGAAUGUAGGUGCAGAAGACUCACAAAGUUUUGAUGUCGAUGCAUUAUCUGUUAAACAGGGAUCACUGAAUAGAUGAAUGCUGCUGAAAAGCUGCCAAGAAAAAAACUUUUCUGCAUGACCACCCUGCAAGGCCUCCUUAUUGCCUGCCUUCACCUGUUAUCUCUGGUUUUCAUCACUGUUGGGUCAACUGACUUAAAUGACAGAAAUACAGAAAAAUUGAUGACUAAAAGGGCUGAAUAACUCUGCUAAUUUAAUGAGCUGAAUCAGCUUGUGAGAAGUGUUUGACAAGCAGCAGAGCCAAUACAAAGGGUGGGGAACAGAAUUGACCAGCGAGUAAGGGGAAAAGAAGGGUAAAGUUUGAAUUUGGAAAGAGUGGGAUGGCAAUGCUUGUCUAUUUACUGUCACAGAUCAGCUCAGCUGCAGGUUGAGUUCAUGUUCUAAGAGAAAGGGGAAAAUACACAAAGAACCCCAACAGAUUCUGAAAUACAUUUCCUAACAGAAACAACUUAAUAGAGUCCAAACUUCAGCCAGCUACUUCAAUCAAAAGGUAUGACAUUGUUUUUAAUAUAAUAUGAGAAAUGGAUUGCUGUUUAUCCUGGUAUGUGGUUUUUAGAUUUUUGUGAAACUUUAUUAAAAAGGGGAAGAUCACUGAAAUUUGAUGAAUUAGCUUUAAACACCUCACUUGCAGAGGCACUGGAAGUAAGGAGAGUUUUAAACUACUUCAUGUUACUUGUUAUUUUAAAUUAUGUUUUUUAUAAUGUUGUUCAUAUGUGAACUAUAUUCAAUUGAGAUAUGUAAAUAAUAUAAUGCUAGGACUUUUUUUGAAGUUAAGACUGUAGAUGACAGAAGUAAUAUUUAAAUAUGUGAAAGUAGUAGAAAAUAAAAAGCUACAAGGAAGAAUGAUGAUAAUAAAAAAUUGCUACUUUGUGCUGAGUUAGGAACAUAUUGAUGUUAAUAAAAGAUGGUGCAACUUUCCAGAUUUUUUUACUGUUAUAGAGGCUAAUAUUGCUAUCUAAGGGGAAAAAAAAAAAAAAACAAAAAAAAAAAACAAACCAAAAAAAAAAAACACCCUGGUAAUUAUAAAGCUACCAAGGAUUACUCACAGUGAAAGAGAGACCUCCUCUUUUCUUUCUCCCUCCUCCUUCCCCUGACAUCCAUUCAUUCUGGCGUCUUUUUAAGGUGGCUUUCACUGCCUCAUCCUCUUGUCAUGGAGGAUUUUGCUGUGUACCUGUGAAGGAAUGUGUAUCGUUAAAAUUCCCUGGGGAUUCACUUACCAGCUUGCCACACAUGAAGUUUUGAUGAUGGUUGUGUGAUGUGUUUUCUACCUUUAGCAGAAGGCAUCCCACCCCUCCCAUUCUGCCCCCUCUCCAUUUUAUUUUUGUCUCGAGAGCUGCAGAGGAGAAAGUGAAAAACAAAAUGCUUGGUCAUCAUGCUCUCUCAGGUUAGGUUACCAAAAAAUCAGGAUGGAAGCAAAACUGUUGAGAGAAUCAGGCCUUCAUCAACUGCAAUUUGCUGAUAGAAUAUCCCAGUUAAAUUAUUCAUAGAGUUAGCUGUACAGCAUGAGAGGAAGAGGAAAUUUAGGAAAGCUACAAUGAAGCAACCAUAGAAAAGCAGGGGGAAAAUCAGUAAUACUUUUUUCCUUUCCUACCCUGUGAAAUAACUGUCUGCCAAAAUUAUCUUGCAAAUGUAUAGUAAAAACCACUCCAUGUAGCAUUUUUAAAAAUAUGUCUGGGAACAGGAAUGGAUGCCUAGCAAACAUUAAAACCUCAUUUUCUUCUACCUCACCCAACCUGUAGCUAUUUUGCCAAGGGCAUUAAAUACAAGGCCUUACCUGCUAUCAAAUUGUAAGUUUUGAAGUUAAAAUUUUUUAUUUGAUACUAUGUUAUACUCAGUGGCUGGUACAGUUACAGAGGUAGGUAUGCCUAUACAAUACAAAGGUAAUGAAGAAACAGGUCCCUCAACUGUGCUGAGAAAUCACAUGUUUUCAGCUGGUGAUUGUUACAACCGUUCUAACUGGAAACAGCACUGCCAACAGCUUAACUGCACACAUGCACAAGAGUAAACUAACUGCAGCAGCUUCUCACUGGUGAAAUAAUGUAAUUUCCUAAUACAGGCAUACUGUCCAUCCCUCUGUGAGUCGCCCUGGGGUGAUGCUGAAGAGCAGACUCUGGGAGGGAGCCACCUGUGUCAGCUGUGCUGUGUUGACCAAGGAGGCACAAAUAGGGGGACACCACCUGUGCAUCCUGGGAGUGCAGUCUUGCUUUCUCUCACACUCUGUGCCUUUUCACUUUCUCAUCUGUUUUGACUCUCCUGUGCUUGUUCUUAACAGGAGGCUCCUUGUUGUCUGUCUCUCUUCACUUAAAAACUUUUGUCUGAGUUAGCAGUGUAUGAAAUUCAAAAAGUAAUGGUCCAGCUUCCCUGUCUGUGUCUAUUGUCAGUGGCCAAAUACUAUAAAAUUGGUUGCAAAUUUAGAAGGUAUUUUUUUCGUAAGCCUGUGGAAAUGAAUUUUUAUAGUUCAAUUACAUUUAAAAGAUCCAGUUUGGGUUCUUAGAGCUGACUUUUGCCUUUAAGGCAAAACUAGCUUCUUAGCAAUGUUGACCUUGUUGUUGAAAUCAAAAUUAUAGAGGUCACUGUGCUCAAUACAUGCUUGUAAUUUACUGUGCAAAAAGCUUCCCUUUGGAAAGGUAGCGAUGAAGAAGCAGAAUACAUAAAAUUUCCAAAACGAUGUUUUGUUGCCUUUGGUUGCAAUGUAUUCAGAAAUAUAAAACUAAGUCUUUAAAAGAGAAAGACUGGGUGACUUAUCAUUAUUUGCUGAUCAGAAUUUGUAUGCAGUUAAUAUUCAGAAAGCAUUUAUGAAGUUGGUAAUGAUUUUUGAAAGUGGCUUUUUUAGUAUUAAUAGCCAGUCAUCUGAAACUUAAUCUUGAAAGUGAAUUACAACAUUCAAGUUAUUCUGUCAAGAAAUGAAAAAAAUGAAAAAAUGUAUGACUUACCUGAAUAGUUGCAAUAGCAAAUUUGCAAAUGGAUUACUUUAGCACAGAAUUAAUAUUUCAAUCUGUGUGCUAAAAUUUGUUAAUAUAAGCUGUAUAGAUAAUCCUUAAGAAUAACAAACUUGUCUCAGGAGCCUUACUGGGAUUCAUCCUAAGAAAUACUAGACUCUGACCAGUUUUGUGUAUCACAUUUCUAUUUUUCACUUGUCCAAUAAAUCUUGUUAUUCAUGCAGUUAUGGUUUGUGCUGGUUGGUAACAUAAGCUCUGCAGACCGUGCAGCUAUGUACCACUUGGUUUUAAAUUUAUUUUCUACAUGCUGUACUGUAAAUUUUUAAGAAUGGUCAGGGCUAGCUAACUGUGAAGCAGUAUAUUAUGGCCUGCUGAAAAGGAGAAAAAAGCUGUUUUAUUUCAGUGUUUGAUUUUUGAAUUUAAAUUUGUUACCAGAGCAUCUUAAACAUAUGUUUAAGUACACCCUUAAAAUUACUUGGAAUCAGUGGAAUUUAAAAUGUGCUUUACAUGUCUCAUUGAUGAUUAAAAAUAUGUGCUUACUAUGAAUAUAUAGAAGAUGCAUAACCAUGGAGGGUCUGAUCUGAGUGUCCUUGUUUUCCAUUGGGAGACCAGGUAUAUUCCCUCUCAAGGCACAUUCAGCUCUAUCAGGGCCACAUGCUGUAAAUACAAUUGUUCCAUUGGUUUGAGGAGGAUAAUUUCUUCCAAGAGUGAAAUGUCUCAGGUUUGGUUAUUUACAACAUUGUUUAUUCAGAAAAAAUAUAUAUGGAUGAAUAAUUUUUCAGAUUAAUGUAGAGGCAGUCAGGAGCAGGCACUUCCUUGUGUUUUAUUUACAAUUCUGCCUUUUUAGGGAGUUCUUUACCUCAGGGAGCUGAAUUACUGUUUCUCAAGUAACUGUUUUCUUUAUAAUGGCUUUUUGGUUGCUAGAUGGCAUGGCUACUUGGAUAGGCUAACAUAAAAUAAGGAUGUAUUUGUGGUGUGGCAGCUACUUUAUGCAUGUUGUCUCAAGGUAACCAUGAAGAUUUUAGUGUUUGCUCUGUCUGAAUAAGAUAUUUUCCAUUUACUGCAAAAUGAGAAUGAUACAUGUAAUGUCCUCAGGUUUUUUUUCCACAAUCUAGUCUUUGAAGCCCUAUAGAGUUCAAAUAUAUGUGUGUGUAUAUAUAUAUAUAUAUAUAUAUGUACUUUCUUAAACUACUGGAUUAGAAAUCACAAUUUUAAUUAAGUGGUAUGUUGUUUCAUAUGUUGGAGGAAGAUAUUCUUUUCCAUAUUACUCUUGGUAUGAAAAUCUUUGGUGAUAAAUGAUGUAUUUUCAACAAAAUUGCCUGGUAAAAUCAUCCUCCUCCUCAGAACUGUAUAAAUGGAUGACUUUGGUUAGUAUAAUCAAGUUAUGAAUGUGUGACUAACCUGUACUGUGCUCUCUGUGAAUUGGUAGAAAAACAUAGCCCAAACAGAAAAUAAACAAAAAAUUGACCAUAUGAGAAACUGCCUUAGAAUAGCCUUAAAAUGUCUUAGGAUGUCUAACAGAAAACCAAAAAAAGUUAUUAAUAUGAUAAGAAGCGAAAUAGUGGUAAUGAGAGUUGAGAGUUCUCACUUGAAAGCAAACCUAAAAGAAAUAAUACAUUCAGUAAACAGAAUUAUGAAGGUUCUUUAGCAUGGAAGGAGGCCUGAUUUGGGGUUUUUUUUGGCUUUUGUUUAAGUCCCAGUGAGAUCUAUCCUUUUGUUGUAUUAAGAGAUGUGAUGCACAAAAACAAUGAGCAGAACUGCCUGCAGAGUGCUGAGAAUAUGUAUUGUUGAGACACAGUUUAACACAUAAGGCAACAUUUGAAGAAUAGGGAGGGGGGUGCCAUGGCAUGAGGGGAGAGCAUCAGAUCUCAGCACAAAGCUUUUGUAGCUGUCCUUGAGAUAAACAGAACCAUGAUGCUCCUUUGCCUGACUGGUUAAAAAUAAGCACUGUACACAUUUCAUAUGCAUCUCUCCCUUAAAUGUGUGGGAGGAGAGAAAAAGCCACACAGGAACAGAUGCUCUGUUCUUGUACUGUUCAUGGCACCCUCCUGGGUUCUUAUCCCUGCCCUUAGCCCAGUGAUGCCACACUCGAGGAAAGGCCUCUGUUUGAUUCUUAAUCCCUGUAGGAUGGGAGCACAUCUAUGGAUGAAGUUGAGAAUCAACUGAUUUUUUUAUAAAUGUAUUGACUCAUAAUAAAGGAAUAAAUAUUUCAUCUUGUGGACCAUAAAAAUAAUUUCUCAUUAUUUGGGUAAGAAUCUUGACAGGAUAAAGAAAAAGGAUCAAAUUUUAAUUUGGGGAAGUACUAUUUUAUGAAACUGAUUCACAGCAAGUAUACCUUAGUGAGUAAAAUACCAAAAAAAAGUAAGGAAAAUAAAUUCUUGAUUUAUUCAACAUUGCAUAUUUUCUAAGAAAAUCAGGGUGGGUUUUUUCCCCCAAAAAACUAUAGUUGUCCAGCAUUCUGUUUGUCACUGGGGCUUCCUGUGUUUGGUUUAAUUUUUUUUCUCUAAAUUCAUUGCAAACUGCCAAUGCAGCAUCUAUGAUCAAGAUGAAAAUUUGCUAACACUUGACUGUAUGACUACAAUGAAAGUAUUUCAUCUAAGUACUCUGAAGAUUUUGAAAUUGAUAAUGGUAUUUAUUAGUGCAGCGUUCCAUGUUUUGGAAGGAGAUCAAGAUCAGUUGAAGCAUUUGUCUGGCUCACAUCAUAUUACAUUGAUUGCAUCUGAAAUCUACAGUUGCUUUGUUUUGCCUUUGGACAGGUGUUCAGAAGGUUUGUCAGGAAUGUUAAGGCUGUGUUGGAUAGGUAUAUGGGUACAUCAUCGGGCUGAUUCUUCCCUUGACUUGAACUAAAUCAAGUGAAACCCUUGUUAAGCCAGAGGUAUUGCAACAAAGAAAUGGGCAUGAAAGGAUAGUCAAACGCAGGCUGUUUCCUGCAGGCUGUUUCCUCAUAUUUAUUCAUUCAUUCAAUGUGUGAGGAACACAGCAGCCAGGUACAGUGGCAAUAGGACAUUAGGAUGGCAUAAGGGGAAUGAGGAAGUACCACUGUCGUGCUUCCUCUGCUAAACAAACACAGAUCUUUCUAAUUAUACAGUCUGAUUUGAGAUAUGUGUUAAAGAUUUUCAAAAUAUAUGUUAGAGUAUAAAUUACUGUAACGUAAACAUUGUAUGGUUUCAUAUUGGGGUAAAUACAUGUAGGCUGUAUAUUCAACUUCAGUAGUGUUUUGCUUGCUUUCAUAAGAAUAAAUGUGUAUACACAGCUAUUAUGUGGUGAUAUUCAAUAACUAAAUCUAAAUUUCUGCAGAAGGCCACACAUUAAAAAAAAAAAAAAUCUUCAUUUUAAAUGUUUUACUGUGUAUCCUUUCUCUUAAGCUACUUGUCUUUCACAGCCCUUCCUUACUCAUCUGUAAAACUUGAAUGCCCUUUGUUCUCCCACCCAUCAAGUUACUCUGGACCAUUAAGGUCCUGGACCUUCUGAUAUUGUGGCACUUGGAGACAUGAUUUAGUGUCAGUGUUAGGUAGAUGGUUGGACUCAAUGAUCUUGGAGGUCUUUUUGGAGGUCUUUUCCCACUCAAGUGAUUCCAUGAUACUAUGUUUCAUUUGCUCUGUGAUAAAUGGUAUCUUCUUCUUGUGGUAUCCAUGUGUUUUGGAGCUCUUUUGUGUCCUCAAAUAUUUUUUUUCUUUUUUUUUUUUUUUUUGAGGUUUAUGUUGAUCUUUGUGCUGGUCUUUCUUUCAUGCUUGUGUCAGGAUAGAAUCCACUGCCUAAGCAAUAUCUCUCAUUCCCACUCCUAGACCCCUGCCCUUCCCGAAUUCAGAAGUGCUGAUAUGACAGUGAAGCACUCAGUGAGAUAAGUGGUGGACUUCCUGAAACUGUGUUCUCUGUGCAGUGUCUAUUAGUAGGAAUGACUUGCAGCAACAAAUUUGCAGGAUGGAACAGAGCCAGAGAAACCAUGAGGAGUGAAAGGUGUCCAGGUUACUUAAGCAAAUUGGGUUGUAAAGGGGAAAGAUUGGAAUGUGUGAGAAAUUAAGAUAGACUGCUCUUAAAAAGUGCAGAACCAUUGUCAAGUGUUCUGUCAAUCUUGAUUUCCUACUGUUUUAACUGCAUUUCUUCCCUUCUCAGGUAUCUCUUAGGAACUUGGUGAUGGUGAUGUCAGUUACAUAUAUUAAGAUACUUAAUAUAGUAAUGUCACUACUAUUUUAAGAUAUUUCUUCCAAAACUAAAAGAAGUCACGUCAUUCUCAUAACAGAAUUGUCACUAAGCUUCAGAGUCAUUGUAGUGACUUGCAGGGCUCAGCAUUCCAGCAAAGCCCUUAGUGCAAAUGCUGAAAAUCUUUUCAGUUUGUGUGUCAAAGGUUAUGAUAGACUGAGAGAUGUUUGGAAAAACUGGAGUCUGUUUCAUACAAAUAUUGCAUUCCAGAAAAGCAAAUCAGUUCAGAGCCAGUGAGGAGAAAGAGCUUGGUGAUCCAUGGGAUUGGAAGUGUACAGUGGGAAACUAGGGGUGUAAUUACAAUACAUGGCGAAGUAUAGUACAUAAAUAAUUGAGCUAACCACCACUAAUCUAUUUCCAGAAGUGAAUUAGUGCAGCCACCUUAGUUUGGUUCUGAAUACAUGCUGAGGAAAACCGGCUGUCUCAGUGACAGGGCACAUAGGCCUGAAAGGAAUGUGCUAACCUAUCUGCACAGCUCUUGGGACCAGGGCAAUGCGGGUGUAGAAUGUCUGCAGUGUCUCUGCUCUGACAGGUCUGGUGUCACAGCCAGCUGGGACCUCUUCACAUUGCAUACCACAGUAGGAGAGAUGUGCUGUGAAAGGGCUUGGCUCAAUGAGGGCUGAGAAGAGUACAGUUCAAGAGCAUGGAGCAUUCUGGGGUGUGUAACUCUUUGUAUCAAAGAAAACCUUACAUGGCACAAUUUGGAUGAUCUCUGGACUUAAACCCAUUACCAGAAAAAGAUAAUGGUGCUGUUGUGAGAGCUAAAUGAAGGGACAACACAUAAUACCAAAUACAAGUAAAACCAGAGGAGAUCUUGAAUGAGCAAAGAAGAGGUGCAUGAUGGAGUUAUUUACCAGCAGAUGGCGUGCCUGCCUCCCUGAGACCAGAGAGCCCAAGCAGAAUGCAAAUGAUAAAUGGAAAAAGAGAAAAUAUUUUGGAACUACAAGCCACAGACAUGGCAAAAUGAUGAUGGAAGUUAUACCAAAGCUUGCUGGAUGUAUCUGCUGUUAGUGGGCCAUUGAGUGUCACUGCAUGACUGAUAAAA